AAGACCUUGCGCUUUUGGAGCGGCCGAUGCCUGAUUAGCUUGUUGGUAAGGUAAAAGCUUACCAAGGCUUCGAUCAGUAGCUGGUCUGAGAGGACGACCAGCCACACUGGGACUGAGACACGGCCCAGACUCCUACGGGAGGCAGCAGUGGGGAAUUUUGGACAAUGGGGGCAACCCUGAUCCAGCCAUGCCGCGUGAGUGAAGAAGGCCUUCGGGUUGUAAAGCUCUUUCAGCCGGAACGAAACGGUUACGGUUAAUACCCRUGAYUACUGACGGUACCGGAAGAAGAAGCACCGGCUAACUACGUGCCAGCAGCCGCGGUAAUACGUAGGGUGCGAGCGUUARUCGGAAUUACUGGGCGUAAAGCGUGCGCAGGUGGUUUUGUAAGUCAGAUGUGAAAGCCCCGGGCUCAACCUGGGAACU
rnacentral:rRNA from 1 species